AUUGAACGCUGGCGGCAUGCCUUACACAUGCAAGUCGAACGGUAACAGGUCUUCGGAUGCUGACGAGUGGCGAACGGGUGCGUAAUACAUCGGAACGUGCCCGAUCGUGGGGGAUAACGAGGCGAAAGCUUUGCUAAUACCGCAUACGAUCUACGGAUGAAAGCGGGGGAUCUUCGGACCUCGCGCGGACGGAGCGGCCGAUGGCAGAUUAGGUAGUUGGUGGGAUAAAAGCUUACCAAGCCGACGAUCUGUAGCUGGUCUGAGAGGAUGAUCAGCCACACUGGGACUGAGACACGGCCCAGACUCCUACGGGAGGCAGCAGUGGGGAAUUUUGGACAAUGGGCGAAAGCCUGAUCCAGCCAUGCCGCGUGCAGGAUGAAGGCCUUCGGGUUGUAAACUGCUUUUGUACGGAAAGAAAAGCCUCUUUCUAAUAAAGAGGGGUCAUGACGGUACCGUAAGAAUAAGCACCGGCUAACUACGUG
rnacentral:rRNA from 1 species